GCCAAAAAGUUCGUUCGGAUUUUUCCAUGCAGUGUCCCUCGAAAAACCCGAACAAACUUUUUGGC
rnacentral:miRNA from 1 species